UUCCGGUUGAUCCUGCCGGACCAGACUGCUAUUUGGUGAGGAUAAGCCAUGCGAAGGUGGAAUGGGAAACCUUAAAGUUCCCAUGGCAAACUGCUCAGUAACACAUGAUCAACUUACCCUAUAGAGAAAAAUACCUCAAAAGGAAACUGAGGAUAAUGUUUCAUAGUUGAAUUGGCUUGGAAAAGUUUUUCGACGAAAGGGGUAAAAAAAAUGGUUUUUAUCUGCUAUAGGAUAGGAUCGUGUUCGAUUAUGGUUGUUGGUGAGGUAAUGGCUCACCAAGCCGACAAUCGAUAGGGGCCGUGAGAGCGGGAGCCCCGAGAUGGGUACUGAGACAACGACCCAGGCCUUACGAGGCGCAGCAGGCGCGAAACCUCCGCAAUACACGAAAGUGUGACGGGGUUACCCAAAGUGUUCAAUAGAACUGUGGUAGGUGAGUAAUGUUCCCUACUAGAAAGGAGAGGGCAAGGCUGGUGCCAGCCGCCGCGGUAAAACCAGCUCUUCAAGUGGUCGGGAUAAUUAUUGGGCUUAAAGUGUCCGUAGCCGGUUUAGUAAGUUCCUGGUAAAAUCGGGUAGCUUAACUAUCUAUAUGCUAGGAAUACUACUAUACUAGAGGGCGGGAGAGGUCUGAGGUACUGCAGGGGUAGGGGUGAAAUCUUAUAAUCCUUGUUGGACCACCAGUGGCGAAGGCGUCAGACUGGAACGCGCCUGACGGUGAGGGACGAAAGCCAGGGGAGCGAACCGGAUUAGAUACCCGGGUAGUCCUGGCCGUAAACGAUGCAUACUAGGUGAUGGCACGGCCAUGAGCCGUGUCAGUGCCGUAGGGAAACCGUUAAGUGUGCCGCCUGGGAAGUACGGUCGCAAGGCUAAAACUUAAAGGAAUUGGCGGGGGAGCACCACAAGGGGUGGAAGCCUGGCGGUUCAAUUGGAUUCAACGCCGGG
rnacentral:rRNA from 1 species